UACGUAGGGCGCAAGCGUUGUCCGGAUUUAUUGGGCGUAAAGAGCUCGUAGGCGGUCUGUCGCGUCGGCUGUGAAAACUCGAGGCUCAACCUCGAGAUGUCGGCGGAAACCACUUGGCUAGAGUCCGGAAGAGGAGAGUGGAAUUCCCGGUGUAGCGGUGAAAUGCGCAGAUAUCGGGAAGAACACCUAUGGCGAAGGCAGCUCUCUGGGACGGUACUGACGCUGAGACGCGAAAGCGUGGGGAGCGAACAGG
rnacentral:rRNA from 1 species